rnacentral:rRNA from 1 species
GACGAACGCUGGCGGCGUGCUUAACACAUGCAAGUCGAACGAAGUGGCGAACGGGUGAGUAAUACGUGAGUAACCUGCCCUCCUUUUUGGGAGAAGCCUUGGAAACGGGGGCUAAUACCGGAUAACGGGGGGUGUGCUCGCGGGCUAUCAGCUUGUUGGGGGGGUGAUUGCCUACCAAGGCGGUGACGGGGAGCGGGUCUGAGAGGGCGACCGGCGAGCUUGGGACUGUGAUACCGCCCAGAAUCCUACCGGACGUAGCAGUGGGGGAUAUUGCACAAUGUGCGAAAGCCUGAUGCAGCGACGCCGCGUGGGUGAUGAAGGCUUUCGGAUUGUAAACCUCUUUCGCUAUCGAACGGGUAUGUGGAGCAGAAGCGCCGGCUAACUACGUGCCAGCAGCCGCGGUAAUUC